GUAGGUGAACCUGCGGAAGGAUCAUUAGUCUAAGCCGUCCUGGAAACGGGCUCGGCGUCGGGUCUCGCUGUAAAAAGUGGGGCUGUCUGAAAACCCUUGAAUAUAAAACUUAGUUGCUUUGGCGGGCCGCCUUCUUUAGGCGUCGGCCUCGGCUGACAGUGCCCGCCAGAGGCCAAAAACUCUAUUGUCUCUGACGUCUGAGUACUAUAUAAUAGUUAAAACUUUCAACAACGGAUCUCUUGGUUCUG
rnacentral:misc_RNA from 1 species